ensembl:lncRNA
CUCCACCCUAAUGAUUUUAAUCCUAAUCACCUCCCAAAGGACCCAUCUUCAAAUUAAGUUUCUACACUCUUAAUACCUCAAGUGGGGAUUAAAUGGCAACAUAUGAAAACCAGGGGGGCACACUCACACCACACGCAAACCAUAGCAUAUACACAGAAGUGGGAUUUCUGGGCCUUCUCAUAAUUCUAUGUUUAACAUCUUGAGGAAAUUCCAAACUCCUUCCCAUGGGGUAUAUACCAUUCUGUACCACUGCCAGCUAUAUGAAGGUUUCAAUCACUUAACAUCCUAGCUCAAACUUACAUGUUAAAUUAUAGUCAUCCUAAUGAGUAAGAUGUAGUGUCUCAUUGUGGGUUUGAUUUCCUUUUCUCUAAUGUCUAAUGAUUUUGAACAUCUUUUCAUACACCUAUGAGCCAUUGUAUAUCUUCUUUGGAAAAAUAUCUGUUAAGCAUCUUGUCCAUUUUUGAAAUAGAUUGUAUUUAUCUUGUUGAAUUGUACAAAUUCUUGAUAUAUUCUGCACACUAGACUGUUAUUUAUUUAUUUUUAUUUUCAAAUUUUAUUUUUAAGACAAUUUAGCACUAAACUGCUAAGUUGCCCAGGCCAGGCUCAAACUUGAGAUCUUCUUGUCUCAGCUUCCCAGAGUGCUGGGAUUAUAGGUAUGGGCCACCAUACCUAGUUAGACCCUUACUACAUAUUCGAUUUCAAGCUGUGGGCCUGAGCAUAGCAGCUCUCACUCAGUUGGGAGUCCUUAAAGGGAAGUACCAAAACUGAGCAUUAUCUCAGUGUAAGACCGAGGGCCUUACCAAACCCUCUGCAAACCCUCUGAGGAGCUGACUGCAGCGAAGAACACCCAGGAAGGAACACACCGGACAAGUUGGAAAGUAAAACAGACCUUUAUUAGUCUGGCCAGACGGCACUCCCAAAGCAAAGUAGCUUAGGGAGGCAACUGGCUCAGAGUCCGAGGCUGUUUUUAUAGGGGGUUGCAGGGGAAGUUAGCAAGCAGAACUUACAGAAAAGAGAAAAAAAUGUUGAUGGUCAAAAGAUGUUUGCAGAUUGUCUUAUAGAUAGCUGUGUCCGGAACAUCGGUUUCGGACGAACAAGGAGAUGGGUAAUUCACUUAGGAACUCUAUGUUUGUUACAGACUUUAUCUUGUGUCCCAGAACUAACCAGCAUCUUUAACCAUUAACUCACAUUCAAUCACAAUUGGGGCUAGGGGAGUUUUAUGAUUACAAAGUUAUGCAGUCCCACAAGAGCUUCCUACCGGGGGCCAAACCCCUGGGAGAACUGUACUCCCCUAUAACCCAAAUGUAGGGGAGGGAAGCACCCAUGUUCUGGCCUUUGAUGGAUGAACCCAGUAUAUCGUAGAAGGCUCUCCAGGUAAAGGAAGAAACUAGAAUAAGAUUGGCAUUACUGUUGCCAAUAUUGCAGAAACAUGACUUGUUUCUGUCAACAAUUGAUGUUUGAGAAUUCUGUCACUAAUUUAAAUAAUUAACACUGAUUACUAGCCAGGAGAAAAGAAUAUUAACUUUUUUUUUUUUUGGUACCAG